rnacentral:rRNA from 1 species
CCUACGGGAGGCUGCAGUAGGGAAUCUUCCACAAUGGGCGAAAGCCUGAUGGAGCAACGCCGCGUGGGUGAAGAAGGUCUUCGGAUCGUAAAACCCUGUUGGCAGAGAAGACAGUGCGUGAGAGUAACUGUUCACGUUUCGACGGUAUCUAACCAGAAAGCGACGUCUAACUACGUGCCAGCAGCCGCGGUAAUACGUAGGGGGCAAGCGUUAUCCGGAUUUAUUGGGCGUAAAGGGAACGCAGGCGGUCUUUUAAGUCUGCGGUGAAAGCCUGCGGCUUAACCGGAGUAGUGCAUUGGAAACUGGGCGACUUGAGUGCAGAAGAGGAGAGUGGAACUCCAAGUGUAGCGGUGAAAUGCGUAGAUAUAUGGAAGAACACCAGUGGCGAAAGCGGCUCUCUGGUCUGUAACUGACGCUGAGGUUCGAAAGCGUGGGUAGCAAACAGGAUUAGAUACCCUGGUAGUC